CACUGUUGACCCCAGCACAGAUGAAGCACUGAUUUCCUGAGAGUGAUCAUGGAUUCAGGGGUCAUUGCUUUCCCUCAUGUUAUUUGAGCACAGAGAUUUCUGCCCACUGGGAGCCUGACUGUCUCCUCCCCUCUUACCACCACCACCACCACUCCCAGUCUUGGAACAUGGAUUGUGAGGGAGUGUGGUGCCACUUAAAUUGCAUGUGGAAGGCCUCUAUCGACUGGCACUGCUGCUCGUGCCAAGCGAAGGUGUUACUGAGGAUAAACAGAAUUCACACUAUAAUGAGCAGUGACAGGAUGUCACCCACUCUGCCACAGAUCAACCCCCAACCCACUGCUUCCACCCUUGCACCCACCUGCACCCAUCCAGCUGAGCCCGCCUGUUUGUGUGAUGUCACCUGCAAACCCCACUCAUUUCUGCAGAACCGAAGACGUUUACUUCUCCGAACGCUUGGCCUGAUGCAGGUUUAACUAUCUUUUGUUCCUCACAUGUUUUCGUCCAGCCCUCUGAUCUCUCUGGAACUCCAGGGAGAGCUGCCCUCUCUAAGUGGCCUUUAGCUGUGUUUGAUCACAGGUUGAGUUAUAGAUUUCUCCAUGACUCGUAACUCAGACUCGGAUGUCAACGUAACACAUGUUGUUUUUCCUCUCUCCUACCACACAUUGUGUGUGAGAAGUGUACAUGAUGGAGUGAGCACUGUUGUUCAGAGAUGUUGUUUUGAAAGCAGCCCUUCC
rnacentral:lncRNA from 1 species